AAAAAAAAGGCAUAAGUGGGUGAAAUAUCACGAUUUAAAAAUGCUUAAAUCUCCCUUAACAAUUUAAAUAACGAAAAAAAACCAAUGAUACAAUUUGUCAAUUUGCUCUAAUAUUUAAACUAACAGCAUAGUUUUCCCUGUUGAACGAAAAAUUUGCUGUGUCACGAGGUUGUCACGAGAUUCAUUUAAGUGGGUACACUCGAUAUCUCGGAAAUUAUUUACUUUUUAAAAUAUUUUCUCUCUUUGAAAAUUUAAGAAAUAAACUGCUCUAAAAUUUAACAUUUAUAUUAUUUUUUAUCACCCAAAUUUUUAGGGGUGAAACGACUACCUACUUUUGAUUUUCAAAAGGCAACCUAUAUUAAAAAUUCCAUAAAUAGAUGGAGUUUUAAUUAAUAUAAAUUUUGAUGUUUAAAUUUUUAAUUUCCGUCAAUCCGCUGGCGAAUUAUAACUUCUUAAAGUCUCAAUACCUAUUGGAUUUAAUUUUGAAAUACAUUUUUUUGUAAACACCAGUAGCUAUAAGUGAUAAAUUCGCUAUCAUUUAAACUAAGGUAGGUAACAAUAUUGAUGAUUAUUAUUUUACUUUGUAUCCCAAUGAUUUAUUUUAUCUGUGAAAUUAUUAUAGCAUUUAUUAUUAAACAGUUUUUCGUUAAUGAUAAGAUCUCGGUAUCGUGAUUUGCGAUCCGGUAACAUAUUAAUAUCAUACUAACUGCAUACAAUUCUACCCAACGUCGUGUCUUGGCAGUUAUUUCGAAUAUAAUAGCUUUUUAUCACGACUAUAGAUAGUAUUUAGUCCUAACCUCGUCCGACAACGGCAAAACGUCGCGGUGAAGAUGGGAAUAGCCAUAGAAAAGGUACAUGCAAGCGUGCGCGCGGUAAACGUCACAUUACCUCCCCCUUGGGAAAAAUAAAUUCACUCGUCUCUGAUAAUAUGACCGAGAAAGAUCAGCUGAUUCGCGUUUGCUUAGGUUAAUCGCUAUGCCAGAAUACUGCAACCGACCGAGAACAGCACACAAGUGUGCUCCAGGCUCGGGCACGGUUCGUAACGCGAUAAGUACGUCGUCGAUAUAAGCGAACGCGAAAUCGAAACCACGGAGAAAGUUAUUAACGAAACGUUGAAAAAUCUGUGCGGCGUUUUUUAGACCGAAACGCAUCACGGGGAACUCAAAUAAACCGAAAGGUGUCGUCACAGCGGUUUUCGGCACGUCACAUAGUGCGACAGGAAUCUGGAGGUAUGCGCAUACCGAAUUAAGUUUUGAAAAUAAAGUUUUACCGUAGAGAUUACCUGUGAAAUCAUGCGGAAGAUGCUACACGUCCGGCCUGGUAACGGUAUUCAAUCAUCAGUAGUCGCCACACGGGCGAAAUGAACCGUCCUUCCUUUCUACCAGCAAAAUGGGACUAGCCUACGGAUUCCUUCCGAGCGGCGGCGAGGCGAUCCAGAUCGAGGUGACGAGGACGAGCGAAUAACGGAGGGCCGGUCGUUGGCAAAACGCGCUCGACACUAUGUGCUAUUUACGUGCAAUUCCCGGAAAACCGGCGACUGAAUCAGUCCACAUACGUUGCUGUGACUACACACACACAGGCGUCGCGACGACGAUUUUCGACGUGAUCUCGGAAUUCGAAUCGAUAAGGCGAUUACGACGAAUGCCGAUUAAAAGGCCAAAACAGUGGAGAAAAUCCGCGCCGAUAAUACUUCUAGAAACGCCGGCGAUCUCAAAGGUCUCCAGCUAAACGGCCUCAAAAGUCCCAAUUCGAGUUGGAGGAGCCUUCGACCGUAAGUGCGGAUAUGGGUGCCAUUAGCGACGGUAAGGGCCACAUUCGAAAAAGAUAGCCGUCCGGCGGAUGGCGGGAUAAUCGAAAUAUCGGCCCCAGAGUCGAUCAGGAACCGCCGGCUGGAGCGCGUGUGCGACACGAAAACGCGAGGACGUCCGGGCCGAUUAGGUCGGACACGGACCUGACUCCUUCUUCGUCAAGUGCGGCGACUACGUGGUUCGCUUUGAAAACGUUUGACCGUAAGCGUAGGUUCGAGAAAACAGCCUCGGUAUGGAUAAACCAUACUCGCGACGAGUGUUGCCAUAGAACGCUUUUCAGAACGCUACUGAAAUACCUUCAUUUGACAUUGGACCUUCGGGAAGUAGCACCUUAAACGAGGAAUAAACGUUAAUCAAAGAAGGUGGCGAUUCGUUAUCGGGCGUGAAAAGAUCGCGACACGGAGUCCCACUGGCCAUGGCGAUACGUAUCGGCUAGUCGAGAAAUCGAGAGUUUGAGCGAGAAUAAGAAAGAAAAAUCAUCACGUCGAGAUCACUGACUUUGGUGGUCGGGUGUACGUGGGUCGGUUUACCCAAAGCCACCAGCUAACCCGGUUCAAGGAACUCGGGUGAUAUAAACCAAUAUGCUUAAUUAAUUUUUGUUUCUUUAAAACGAUAAAUAUUAUUUAUUGCUCCAUAAAUACAAAUGAAAAUAGUAAAAAUAAAUUUUAAGACUAAUUAUAAAAUACAAAAUAUAAAAGAUUUUCACGUAGAAAAACUGUGGUUAGUAUCGGAGGCGAUGGGUCAGCGAACUGUGCCGAAUGACGGCAGCGAUGAGAGUGUGAAAUGAAAAAGGCAGGUGCUUCGGCCGCGUCCGAUGACGGCAAAAGGUCGUGGUGAAGGUCGCAGCGUUGAAUAUGGCAAUUGUCAUAGAAAUGAUUGUACACGUGAGCGUGCGUGGGGAAACGCGACAAUAUUAUUGUUUAAGUUUUUAAUUUAUGAUAAUGUUAA
rnacentral:lncRNA from 1 species